CUGCUCGCUUUGGCAGCAGAUAUACUAAAGUUGAAACAAUACAGAGAAGAUUAGCUUGGCCCCUGCGCGAGAAUGGCACGCAAAUUCGUGAAGCAUUGCAUAUUUUU
rnacentral:snRNA from 1 species